UCUUCUGAGUUGUUUUGUCUGCAAUUGUGUCGAUAGCUUAGAUUGUUGAAAGUGUAGCUUAGAUCAGUGUGGAAUUUAGCUGUUUUUGAAGAAUAAAGAUGGCACCAAAGACAGACUCUACUGACCCAUUGUACAUAGGGACAUCAGAAGUUUCGGGUGCUACAUUGAUUUCAAACAAACUUACUGGUUCAGAGAAUUAUGGAGUGUGGAGUCGUUCAAUGUGAAUUGCUUUGUAUGAAAGAGGAAAUUUGGCUUUGUAACUGGAGCAUGUAGUAAGGAUAACUAUAGAGAAUAACUGCAUGAGCAGUGAGAAACUUGUAAUGCAAUUAUGCUCUCUUGGUUGAUGAGCUCUGUUAGGGUAGAGUUGUUAUCUGGGAUUGUUCCCAUUAAAUUUUCUAUUACUUAUUACACAUACUUAAAAUCUUAUCUUUAAUCAUUUAAAUAGUCUAAAUCAAUUAACAUAGGAUACACGUCAAACACAGCUAUUUUGGUCAAUUCUGUUAUGUAUGGUCAAUUCCGUAGUGCUUUUGAAGUACAAAUUUGACAAUGUGGAUUUACAUUGUAACUUAACAAAGGAAAAAGCUAUUUUGGUUGCUGUUGCAGUUAGAUCUUCUGAAGUACUCUUUCUGUGAUAGCUGUGAAACAACAGACAAGAAUCUCAUUAAAAAUCUAAUGCAGGAGGGUUCGGACAGGGAUGAAGAACCUGCUGCUCAGAAUUAUUCGAGUGUGGCUAGAUCAGAAAGGAUAUAUCAGUCUGGCAUCUUCCGAAAUAAUCCACUAUCAGUUUUACGUCAAGCAAUAGAAAUUUCCGAUACCAGUUUGUGUAGUGGUUGCUCCAAUAGACCUUUUGGUGAAGCAAGCAGCCAACUUCCACAAUGACCACGUGCAACUCAAGAUUGUGUUACAAAAUUUUAUGCCUCGCACUGUCAGUUUUCUGCCACCGAACACCGGCGACUUCAACUGUAAGUCUCUCAUUGAAGCGAAUCAUUUCAUGGGAUUGCCGAUUCUCUGAUUUGAUGGUCAAGAAGGAAGUCAAACAAAAGGUCGGCAUCCUCUGUACCAUAUGCAAGUUUGUCAGUCUCUGUAAAUCAUUCAAGAAGUACCAUCAUCACAAACAAUGUGAAACCUCUUCUGGUAAUAAAGUUACUGGGAAAGUCCAAUGCAAAAAGAAGUGGGAUAUUCGUAGUGCAAAGUAUCUGAAUUGAGAUCAGGGCAGUGGAAUUUACGUCAACAAGAAUCAGCCACCGAUAAGCAUUUGAAGUUGAGAGACUGCUGUUUCUAAUGAUCAAGAUGUUGAUGUGCAACAAUUGCAAGUUGAAUAUCUUCGACAGGCCCAACAUGGCUAUGGGCCUCCUUCACUGAUGAGCACGCUUCUCCUAUUCCUUUGUCAAGAAUCCUCAAGGUACAUUAAAUAUAGGAUUGAUGAGCUGAACGACGAGAAGUUUGUUAUCUAGCUGCUACUCAAUUAGAAAUGAAACAACUUUUACUCACACACACAUCAUGGAAACUAUCACCUUAGUGGGAUUGCAUUACAAAGUCGAAUGCAGGAAGGUUCGGAAGGAGAUGAAGAAUCUGUUGCUCGGAGUUAUUCAAAUGUGGUUUAGAGCAGUAAAUUCAUACCCUUACUAAAAUUUCAACUAAUUAUGUACCUUUGUUGGAUGUAUCGGGAGCUAAUUAUGUAUCUCGAUAAACCCAAAAUAGAAAAAAAUGUAUCGGGAGUUAAUUAUGUUUCUUUACAAAAGAAAAAAAAAGU